rnacentral:rRNA from 1 species
GAUGAACGCUGGCGGCGUGCCUAAUACAUGCAAGUCGAGCGAACGGACGAGAAGCUUGCUUCUCUGAUGUUAGCGGCGGACGGGUGAGUAACACGUGGAUAACCUACCUAUAAGACUGGGAUAACUUCGGGAAACCGGAGCUAAUACCGGAUGAUAUUUUGAACCGCAUGGUUCAAAAGUGAAAGACGGUCUUGCUGUCACUUAUAGAUGGAUCCGCGCUGCAUUAGCUAGUUGGUAAGGUAACGGCUUACCAAGGCAACGAUGCAUAGCCGACCUGAGAGGGUGAUCGGCCACACUGGAACUGAGACACAGUCCAGACUCCUACGGGAGGCAGCAGUAGGGAAUCUUCCGCAAUGGGCGAAAGCCUGACGGAGCAACGCCGCGUGAGUGAUGAAGGUCUUCGGAUCGUAAAACUCUGUUAUUAGGUAAGAACAUAUGUGUAAGUAACUGUGCACAUCUUGACGGUACCUAAUCAGAAAGCCACGGCUAACUACGUG